ACAGUGAGGAUGUUGGCUUAGAGGCAGCCAUCAUUUAAACAGUGCGUAAUAGCUGACUCAUCGAGUGAUGUCGCGCCGAAAAUGAUUGGCGAUAAGUGGCAUGCCGAAGCCGCGGGAUCCAGAGCGGUUCGCCGCGCUGGAUCGGUAGGGGAGCGUAAUCGUGACGGUGAAGAUUGUCUGGAAGGACUUUUGGAGUCGCGAUUAGUGAGAAUGCAGACACGAGUAGCGAUAAACCAGAUGAGAAUUCUGGUCGCCGUAAACCCAAGGUUUCCUGGGCCAGGUUCGUCCUCCCAGGGUCAGUCGGGAGCUAAGAUGAGGUCGUAAGACGUAAUCGAUGCACAGCUGGUCAACAUUCCAGCACCGAUGUGGUUCAAACCGACAGUGACGCAAGGAGAAACGUGGCAAGGUCAUUGAAAGACCUAGCUUAGGGGCAACCCGAAGCAAGUCACCGGACAACUUGUCUAGAAAAGCUGUCGGCCCUUUACCACAUUGCCCGUACCGCAAACCGACACAGGUGGGUGGGUGUAAAUGCACCAAGGCGCGCGAGAGAGACCUCUCUAAGGAACUCGGCACAUUAGCCCCGUAACUUCGGGAAAAGGGGUGCUCGCUUCGGCGAGCCACAGUAAAUUGCGUUUAGCGACUGUUUAACAAAAACACAGCACUCUGCCACGUCGUUAAGACAACGUAUAGGGUGUGACAAGUGACCAAUGCGGAAAGAUCAAGGCAAGUUGUUAGCCGCAAGGCGAAGCUCCGAACCUAAGUCCCCGUGAAUGUCGGCCGUAACUAUAACGGUCCUAAGGUAGCGAAAUUCCUUGUCGGGUAAGUUCCGACCUGCACGAAUCUUGUAACGACUGAACGACUGUCUCGGAGAGGUUCUCGGCGAAACUGUAAUGGCGGUGAAGAUGCCGCCUGCCCGCAGUAGGACGGAAAGACCCUAUGCACCUUUACUGUAAGCUCGUAUUGGCUUCUGAUUGAUGAUGCUUAGCGUAGGUGGGAGACUUUGAAGGCACGGUUUCGGUUGUGCUGGAGUCGAAAUGUGAAACACCACUCUUUGUCAAUUAGGAGUCUAACCCCGAUCCCGUUAGCCGGGCGGGGGACAGUGCGUGCGGGUCAGUUUGGCUGGGGCGGCUUCCUCCCAAAUGGUAACGGAGGAGCGCGAAGCUUGGCUCAGCAUGGUUGGCAACCAUGCGUCGAGGGUAUGGCUAGAAGCCAGGUUGACUGCGAGACCAACAAGUCGAGCAGGUGCGAAAGCAGGCCCAAAUGAUCCGAUGGUUGAAUGUGGAAUUGCCAUCGCUCAACGGACAAAAGGUACGCUAGGGAUAACAGGCUGAUCGGGACCAAGAGUUCACAUCGACGUCCCGGUUUGGCACCUCGAUGUCGGCUCAUCGCAUCCUGGGGCUGGAGAAGGUCCCAAGGGUCCGGCUGUUCGCCGGUUAAAGCGGUACGCGAGCUGGGUUCAGAACGUCGUGAGACAGUUCGGUCCUUAUCCACUGUGGGCGGAGGAAACUUGAGGGGUUCAUUCCUUAGUACGAGAGGACCGGGAAUGACGCACUUCUGGUGUGGCAGUUGUCGUGUCAACGGCAUCGCUGCGUAGCCACGUGCGGAAGGGAUAAGCGCUGAAAGCAUCUAAGUGCCAAGCUCAUCCCAAGAUAUGGUUUCCCGGGGCGUUAGCCCCCUGAAGACCCCUGGCAGACUACCAGGUUGAUAGGCUGGGCGUGUACAUGCCGCGAGGCAUUCAGCGGACCAGUACUAAUCGGUCGUGCGGCUUGAUUGC
rnacentral:rRNA from 1 species